GUUUAUUCAUUAUGUUUUCACACAGUGAAAAAAGAUUUCAGUUCAUUGUAUAAUUCAAUAGGUUUGUUCAAGCGGCCAAGAAACACAAAAGAGUGUUCCCCGACCUGUCGGCGGCGCCAUUAAAAAGACAACCGCCGAAUACGUUGGACAGUGCACACAAGAUUAACUAGUUGUUGACUAGUGUUUGUUAAUGAUCCAACCGCAGGUUCACCUACGGUUA
rnacentral:misc_RNA from 1 species